rnacentral:lncRNA from 1 species
CUAUGAAGCAAUUGGUCAAUGCCUUAGUCAAAGAUGGAUGUGACCUGGUUGGAUAAACUUUCAGUUGCUUGGCUGGCUGAAGGCUCGCUUUAGAUAGCAAAUUCAGGUUUGCUUCUUCGAUUAUAGAGUCAGUUAUUGACUCUUGACAUGUGAAGCGAAACUCGUGAUCACGUAGUCACGCAACCCACAAUCAAGAUUGAGAUCUUAUCCCGCAAAACCGAAAAAG